AGCAGCCGCGGUAAUUCCAGCUCCAAUAGCGUAUAUUAAAGUUGUUGCAGUUAAAAAGCUCGUAGUUGAAUUUCGGGGUCAGUAGAUUGGUCGUGCCUUCGGUAUGUACUGGUGUUACUGGUUCCUACCUUCUGACGAACCGUCAUGUCAUUAAUUUGGUGUGGCGGGGAAUCAGGACUGUUACUUUGAAAAAAUUAGAGUGUUUAAAGCAGGCUCGCGCUUGAAUACAUUAGCAUGGAAUAAUGAAAUAGGACGUUCGAUCCUAUUUUGUUGGUUUCUAGGGUUGACGUAAUGAUUAAUAGGGAUAGUUGGGGGCAUUAGUAUUCAAUUGUCAGAGGUGAAAUUCUUGGAUUUAU
rnacentral:rRNA from 1 species